UUGAAGCAGAGUGACACCACCACAUUCACAUUCUAGAACAUUCUUUCUGACUCCAGAAGUAUGGCAGAGGUUAAAAGGCUGGAGGCGUGGCAAGGACACCUGGGUGGCUACAGGAAAGUUGGAGAUGGUGUAUGAAAACCAACAGUUCUGGAGGACCUCUUGACUGUGGAGACUGAAGGAAAACAAGUCAGUAUGGAUCCUAGGGCCUCCCUUUGAAGCCCAGUAGCAACAGAUAUGUCUUGAAAGCCCAGUCCAUGCCCUCCAUCAUCUUGAAGAAACCCCUGACAGGUCCACAAGGAAAGGAUCUGAAAUAAAGGGGGAGACGGGGUGUGGAAACUAGGCGGCCUCGGAGACACACUGACCACUUGCCAGAUGCGAGGAUCUCUGGCUGGCUGAUGGCAAGGAAAACCACCGCGGCUCCUCCCUUCGCUUAAGCGUGAAUCAGUCCUGAAAUGUGCCGGAGAAGCCAACAAACACAACAUUGCCUUCACCCGCAUCUCUCAUGCAAAGUGUCCCAAAGAGGCUGGCAGAAUGGAAUUGAGCUGAGUCGCAAUGAGAAAGCAUGCACGCUAUAAAGGAACAUUCGAUAUAGAGGCAAUCACUCCAAGGUGAUUCGUGCCAUCCGUCAGUCAGAGGUAUAAAUCCCAUGGGGCGCA